UGUCUUAUUUUCAAAAACGAUUUAAUACCAUUUGAAGUCCUCCGAAUAUAUUGAUUUUGUCACAUUUAGUCCUAAACUUUCAAAUUGACCAUAUGUGUUCC